AGCAGCCAAGUCGGCCGGGCAGUCCAGUCCAUUUGGACCAAGGCUGGACUGGCCAGCUAUAUAACCUGCACAUUAAUGAGGAAGACUGCAGUGACGCAGUUUCUUUAGAACUGCCCGGAACAGUCAGCGAACCUGUCCGACCUAAUGUGCCAUAGGCAACAAACGGCGGCCAAAUGUUACAGACUCGUAGAAAGGGAGAGGACAGCAGUAGAGGCAUCAAAGGCUCUGUCUGGCUUGAUGUCUCUACCAGCUGAUGUAGAGCAACCAGGUUUCAGCAGUAGCAGCAUGCCAGCUUCGUCGAAGAGGGGCAAAAAGGUUUUCAGUGCUAGUGACAAAGAGAAUCUAAGAUCCACCUGUGGAGACGUGAAUAAGAGCUGGACCGAUUGGGGCACAACGACUAAUGGCCGUUUUGGAACAGACAGACGGAGGAAGACGACUGCUGGCUAAUUUUAAAAUGGACCAGAUCAUUAACAGGAUUAAAUGUGAAAGGAGGAAAGAUCAAUCACAAUUGUAGCCAACAAGCUGUUUGUACUUGUUUUAUGUUCUGUUUCUGUGUUUGUUUAGAUUGAUUUCUAGUUUAAUGGACCAGUUUAAUAAUAAUUAAUAGACUAUGCAUACACAUCAGAUACAAGGCAAAAAGCACCAGUU